AAAACCUAAAUAAAAAUAAAACUCGAUCCCUUGGGCAAUCCAAAUGAAGCCUAUUUAUAACAAUGUUUGGGAAAACCUUAAAACAUAAAACGACAACGUAAAAGCGGUUCAAAGGUUGUUUUGACUAAGUUGGUCGAGUGAGCAUCUCGAGUGACCAUCUUCUCUGCUUUACUCGAUCGUGUCACUCGAGUGAGUGGGUCGAGUGACCUGUAAAACCAUCAGCUACUUCUUUGCUUUGCUCGAUCAUGUCACUCGAGUGAGUGCAUCGAGUGACAGGUAGUUCUGAUUCGCUUCCCUUCUGCUCGAUCUGCCACUCGAUCGUAUACGUCUGCUGCUCACUCGAACGUCAAUGUAACUGUAACGCAUCCAUGCUUCUCACUCGAUCGUCCCACUCGAUCGUGUGCAUGUCGAGUAACGCUUGUUCCUCUGCUUCGCUCUGCAUGUCUCCUAAGUACCUGAAACACUCCAAAUAUGCACAAUGUAUGCAAGAUAUGCAUGAUAUGCAUGAUAUGCAUAAAACCUACCUAAGUAUGUAAAACAUGCAGAAAGGGAUCAAUAUGAUGCGAAUCAACAAGUGAAUGAUGCUGAAUAGAUGAUGAAUGCAUACUCAAAAAGCAAUGAAAUACAGACUUAUCA
rnacentral:lncRNA from 1 species